CAUAAAGUCUCCACCUGUGUGCUCUGUGUCUAUAGAAAGAGCGUCCUCGCCCCUCGUCUUCUGGGGCUGGUGGUUGUGUGUCUCUUACCAAAAGUGUCCUGAGUCCCUGUCCUUGGCACAACAGGGAGCCUCCCUGAGACUCUGGGGUGUACCCAGCUACAAAGCCUGGCUCCCUGGAAGAAGAGGGGGGUCUGGGCCUUGCUCCCACCCUUGUGUUCUCAUCCGCACAGCCCACAGUACACUUUGCAGAGGAUACACUGCUGCCCGGUGAAGAUGGCGAGAGUGAGGAGGGGCAGCUUGAGGCCCCCUGGCCCCUGCCAGGUGGGAGGCAGCGGCUCAUUCGCAAGGACACACCCCACUACAAGAAGCACUUCAAGAUCUCUAAGCUUCCGCAGCCUGAGGCUGUCGUAGCCCUUCUGCAGGGGAUGCAGCCCGACGGGGAGGGCCCUGCAGGGCCUGGUACCUGGCACAAUGGCCCCCACAUGCCCUGGGCUCCUCGGGCCCAGGAGGAGGAGGAGGAGGAGGAGGAGGAGGAGGAGGAAGACAGGGCUGAGGAGGAAGGCGAGGCCACUACAGAAGAGGAGGACAAGGAGGAACCUGCGACUUCUGCACCCUCUGUCAAGGUGGGUCUCACGUGCACUCCUCUCUGGCCCUCCUAGGGUACCUGGGGAUGGGCAGCAUGGAGGCCAGCCCAGACUGCCCUGUGGCUGAGCCCCUCAGGUCAGGCCUCCACUCACUGGCCCCCUGGCUGCCUGGAGGAGGGGUGGGUGCAUCUCUGCUGUGACUGCUGCGUCUCUGUGUGCGCCUCACUACAAGUCCCCAGGGUCGGCCUUAGCUGAAGCCCCGACAUAUGAGUGUCUGCCGUGAUCAGCAGUGUCGUCCCCAUGUGCCCCUCUCAGUCCCUGGGCACCUCCGCUCUAGCACUGACCUUCAUCGAGGCUCACGGCGACCCUCUGGGCCAGUGUUUGCCCGUUAGACCUGCAGGCUAGCAGGACCCAGAAGCUGAGGGCAGGUGCACUGCAUACCCUCAGCCUUUUGGGCACAGGGGGCGCUGGCAGGAUGCUCUCCUCUCUGAGAGCUGCUGGCUCCCAGGAUCCUCCCUGCCUAGCCAUGACUUGGCCAGGAGGCCCUGCUGCUGGCAUGCAAUUUGUCCUGUGGGUCUGACAGUCACUCUUCUUCCUUGCAAGACAUCCCUGGCUCCCAGCAGAUUCUUGGGGAAUUGUCUUGUGCCUUCCUGAUCCUCAGUUUGUUCUCAAUGGCUCAUAACAGGUCCCUCCUGCUCAUGGGGACCCUUGAUGCCAAAGAAAGCCCCAGGCUGCCCAGAGGACCCACCUUCCCCACCCCCAUGAUGCCCCUACCCUGAGCAUGGGUUGAUGACAUGUGGCAGUGAGAAGCCUGGGGUCCUAUCAGGGAUGGCUAGGCCUGGGCUCAGCCCCACUCUGGAGCUUCCCCCCAGCCAGCCCAACCCUACCGUCUGUCAGGUCUGCAGCCUUGUGUCAUAGACAGAGGUAACCCUUGUCAGUGCCAGGAACAAGUUGGGAGGGACUGGCUCAGGCGACAGGAGCUUGGUGUGGUCUUCCUUCUGUCUUGUCUGCUCAUGGCCGGGCUGGUGAGGUGGUGGAGGUCCCUGGCGGUGGCUAACCUGCAUGCCUCGCUGGUCCUGUCCUAACAGGGCGUGUCGUUUGACCAGGCCAAUAACCUGCUGAUAGAGCCUGCUCGCAUUGAGGAGGAAGAGGUCUGUACUGCUCACUGCUGCUCUGUGCUCUGGGCCCGGGUCUGCUGCUGACCUUGCUUCCUGGGCUGCGGGUUCUUGCCUCUCCCCACCCCAUCACUUAAGCAUAGACCCUUUCCCAGAAGAGCUCCUGGCAGCUGCUACAGAAAUGGGGUCCUGGGGCUGCCCCGAUAGGGCCUGCUGGUCUUUUGGCAGAGGCAGCACAUCUCUGCCCCCACUGCGGCCUUUCUUGUAGAGGACAAACAGAGGGCCAACGCCAGGCCAUCCGUGUUCAUUCUCUGCAGCUGUGACUGCCCCACGCCUCAGAUACCUCCCAGCUCCUCUUCUGCCUCUGCUACCCUGGCAGGCGGAGGGACCUCAAAAAGAAACCAAAAGGAGCUGUCUGUGGCUGGCCUUGCUGUGCCGCAAGCACACAGACGGCUCAAGCCCUCCCAAACACAGUGUCUGCUCUGUUUCCAGCUGACCCUCACCAUCGUGCGCCAGACUGGGGGCCUUGGCAUCAGCAUCGCAGGGGGCAAGGGUUCCACCCCCUACAAGGGAGAUGACGAGGUGAGCAGCUGCCCCAGGCUAUAGCUGCCCUGGGCUCCCUCCUGCCCCAGACCUGCCUACACUCACUGGCCCAGAGGCUUCUGCUCCAAGGGGUGUUGGAUGCCUGCCGCCAGCCCCACAGUUCAGUCUUCUGUGUGCUUUGCCUGCACUUGGCCACCAGCCCCAGAGUGCACAGGCUGGGCCCAAGGCAGCAGGCAGACGGGGAUGUGCGCACGUGGGAGUUCACAGUCUAGAGCAGCUUGUUUCUCUUCUGCAAUCUGGUCUUCCCUCACACACUCUGGGCGUAGUGCCCGGGUCAAAGCCCUGACCCGCACUUUCUACUUCCUGGACGUAGGACCCACAGUGGUCUCUACUUAGGCCGUAUGUCUUCCUUCAUGUUCUUGGGGAUCUUUGCAGCAUCCCCAGAGAGCAGGCUGGGCUAGGGUCUGAAGGGACCAGGUCUCCCUCCAGUAAGUGCCUCCUGGCCUCCCAGAAAGGGCAAGACAGAAGGCUCUUAAGGAAUCCCCAACUCCUGUCCCCAGGGUGUCUUCAUUUCUCGGGUGUCUGAGGAGGGCCCUGCGGCCCGGGCUGGAGUCCGAGUGGGCGACAAACUCCUUGAGGUGAGUAGUGACUGCUGGCCAGUGACACCUGUGCUCUGGGGUGCCAUCUGGGCUGUUGGGGUAUUUAGUUGUGCCUAUCGGAUGGGGGCACUGUCUACCCUCUCCAGAAGCCCUGAGCCCCAGACCCCAGGACUCCCCCAAACCCUCUUUGGGCAGGAUGUGUAGUGCAGGCACCUAAAACCCCAGAAUCGGGAGGGCUGGGAAAGGGGUCAGACCCCAGCAGGUUGUGGGGCUCAGAUCCUUGUGAGAGACUUGGCACCCCCACCAGGGCACCUGGCUGUUGGAUAUAGGCUGUGCCCUUCCUGUGGGGACAAGGGUGAGGGCCCUGAGGGUAUCAGAAGAGGCUGGUGCUCCUCCUGCUCUCCUGCUCAGCUCUCUUCCCAGCCUCUCUUGGGGGCUCCUGUCCAAGGUGGCGUGUGAGUGUGGGGUCGGUGACCUGGUAAUCCUGGGCAUUCUCUGGGGCUGCUCAGACAGACCCAGAUGGUAGGUUUCCAGAAGCAAGGUGAGUGGUGUGGACUGUUCCAGGGGCAGAUGCCUGUGCUCUGGGAACCGCCAUAGGUGGGGACGAAGCCCAUCAGGAGCUCUGGGUACCCCCUCUCCCUGCCCUUCCCAUCCAUGGAGGGAAGCGUGGGCAGAGGCCACACGAGCCGUUGUCAUGGCGUCAGUGCUCAGGUGUCGGGGUGGCCGCAGCUGGGUGCUGACGUGUGCCGGGCCUCCCACACCUACAGGUGAACGGCGUGGCUUUGCAGGACGCUGAGCACCAUGAGGCUGUGGAGGCCCUCCGAGGGGCAGGCACAGCCGUGCAGAUGCGUGUGUGGCGGGAACGCAUGGUAGAACCUGAGAACGCAGUCACCAUCACACCCCUGCGGCCCGAGGACGACUACAGCCCCCGAGAGCGGCGGGGAGGCGGCCUGCGCCUGCCCCUGCUGCAGCCGGAGCUCCCUGGGCCUGUGCGCCAGUGCCAUGUGGCCUGCCUGGUGCGCAGCGAGAAGGGGCUGGGCUUCAGCAUUGCUGGGGGGAAAGGCUCCACACCCUACCGGGCCGGUGACGGGGUAAGGCAGGGUGGCUGGGGGUGCAGGGAGGGCUCUGGGGCAUCCGUGCCUGCUGGCCGUGCCUGCUGGCCUCACGGUGGCGGCUCCCCCAUCCCUGCAGGGCAUCUUCGUCUCCCGCAUUGCCGAGGGUGGUGCUGCCCAUCGAGCAGGCUCGCUGCAGGUUGGCGACCGUGUUCUCUCGGUGAGUGGGAUGGGCAGGGCCUGCUCAGUGCCUUGUCCUGCCCACCCUUUCUCACCUGAGUGUCCCUCACAGAUCAACGGGGUGGACGUGACUGAGGCCAGGCAUGACCAUGCUGUGUCACUGCUGACUGCUGCCUCCCCCACCAUCGCCCUGCUGCUGGAACGGGAGACAGGGGGACCCCCUCCCUCCAGCACCCCCCCACUUUCCUCCCCAACUCCCACUGUUGCUGCUGCCACCACCACGACCACUGCUGCCCCUGGAGAGCCUGGGCUGCCCAGGCUGGCCCCUGCUCUCCUGGCUGCUGCCCUAGAAGGACCGUACCCAGUGGAGGUGAGCCUCCAGCUGCCCCCUGCCAGGCAUCCGCUCAGCUCUGCUGUGGGUGUGCACUCUCCCAGAGCCCCUGCUCAUGGCCCUGCAGCCACUCUGGGCAGAAAGGAACUUGCACAUUUUUCCCCAUGUGCCUGAGAAACGGAGCCCUCCUCCACGAGGUGACUCCUUGCUGUGGUCCACCUGCCCCACACCACCUCCCUGCCAGGCCACCCAUGAGGACACAGGCUUUAGCUGCAUGGGUGUCUGGGCAGUGGGGUUUUGCAGAGGCAAUGGGAAUCCCUGCAGGUGCCUGGGGCUCCCCGAACUCUGUUCCCAACCACAGAGACCAGCAGUUCCCCUACUUCUUUCCACUCUUUCCCUUCUCUGAGGCCUGUCCCAUGUCCCCAGGAGGUUCGUCUGCCUAGGGCUGGGGGCCCCCUGGGGCUCAGCAUUGUUGGGGGCUCCGACCAUUCCAGCCACCCGUUUGGUGUCCAGGAGCCCGGCGUAUUCAUCUCCAAGGUAGAUAGAGGCCCUGGUGGGUGGAUCUGGACAGAGGGGACCUAUCCUGCCCACCCUGGGGGGCCCACCGGCUGCUGCCUUCCUCUUCAACAGGUGCUCCCACGCGGCCUGGCCGCUCGCUGUGGCCUGCGGGUGGGGGACCGCAUUCUGGCAGUAAAUGGGCAGGAUGUUCGGGAGGCCACUCACCAAGAGGCGGUCAGUGCCCUGCUCCGGCCCUGCCUAGAACUGUCCCUGGUGGUGCGGAGGGACCCUCCACCUCCAGGCAUGCGGGAGCUCUGCAUCCAGAAGGCCCCUGGGGAGAAGCUGGGGAUCAGCAUCCGUGGGGGUGCCAAGGGCCAUGCAGGGAACCCCUGCGACCCCACAGACGAGGGCAUCUUCAUUUCCAAGGUAAGGACCCUGCCCUUCUGCUUCUGUGGGCAGGUCCCAGUUCAGAGUCUCAGGUGGGUCUCUCCACAGGUAAGCCCUACGGGGGCAGCCGGGCGUGACGGCCGGCUGCACGUGGGGCUCCGGCUGCUGGAGGUGAACCAGCAGAGCCUGCUGGGCCUGACACACGCAGAGGCCGUGCAGCUGCUGCGCAGCGUGGGUGACAGCCUGACCGUGCUCGUCUGUGAGGGGUUUGACACCAGUGCCACCACAGCCUUGGAGGUUAGUGACCACUCUGGGGACCAGGUGCUGUCUCAGUACUGUCCCAAAGGGUUGUAAUGAGCUGACCCUUGUGUGGGCUGGGCAGCAGAGCCUUCCACAGUCUGAGCCAGCUGUAGGUGGGAGCUGUGGGCAUACCCCAUGCCAGACUGCUUUCUCUCCAGAGCCCUGGCCACUGUGCCUUCUGGAGACUCCUGCCUGGGCAGGAUGAAGCACUAAAAGCUUGUGAUGUAUCUGGGCAGUGGCAGGAUCUGGUUCUUUGAGAAGAGGUCCAGCCAUAGGCCUUGGGCAGGGAGCACCUGAGUGGGCGUGGUAGGUGGCUGACAGGGAGCUGUGACCUCCUGUUCUCCCUGGCCCAGCCUGACCCCAGGGUCUCUGGUGGCCUGUCAUCAGAGUUCACCCCCCACCAUCUUAUCUGACUGCUCUGUGCCUCAGAGCAAGAGCUCAGACUGGGGCAGAGACGCAGAUGGGGCGUCAGCCACCUCCCAACACUUGCGGAGAGGAGGGACCAGGGCUAGGCCCAGGAACCUUGCGUCCUGGACAGGCUGUCUUCAUCCAGUGGUUUCAGCCCUCUUGUCUCCCACCAGCUGUCAGUGAGGCCCCUCAGCACCAUUGCCUGAAGGCCCAAACAGGCCUCCAGAAGAUUUUUACCUGCAGUAACCACCAGCUUUGCCCAAAGAGCACCCUUGCUGGUCACAGUGGUCUGUGGGACACGGUGCCGUGUCACCACUCUGCCUGGCUUCCACUUCUUGCCCUGGUUUCUGGGAUAGUCAGCCACCCUGGGUUGGCUCUUACAGUGGAUCUUUGGGAUGGUGACUUCCUGCCAGAUGCCAGCUAAAAAGACACCACUGGCUGAGAGCCACAGACAGCACCUUCUCGCAGGCCCCUCGAGGGCCUGCCCUGUGGGAAACCAUGUGUCUUCAUCCCAGUCGCCACAGCGGGACUUGAGCUGGCCAUCCUCCCCCUUUGCUGUCCACGAGGGAGCGCUGGUAGAUUGGGGAAUGAGUUUCUCUAUGCCUGAGUGGUCUGGUUCCAAAAGGCGUUUUGCCUUUUCUUCACUGAUCUUAAAGUGUACAUUUAACGGAUGUUGUCCAAGACAUUUAUUUAUUUCAGACUUAGAGAAAGGACACCGGGGGGAAGGGUGCGAACUUCCACCAGAGUAGGACUGGCUUGCCCAGGUGACGCCAGGCCUGUGUUCCCUCACCUGGCGUCGGCUCCUCUGGAGGGUCACAGCUAAAGUCUGGGCAGGUGUCCUCCACAGCUGAGGGCAGAGGGCCCUGAGCAGGGCCAAGAGCCCCUGGACCUCUGCCCGUGGGAGCUGAGUGCUUUCCCUGGGAGUGUCGGGACUCCUCGGGACCUGAGGCUGCUGUCACCCGGCAGGUGCCCACCCACCGUCCUUGGGCACAGGUGACCCACGUGUGCUCUGUAGCACAUAGCUGUGUUAUCUUUGUUUCCUUUUUAAAAUUGUGUAUUUUAGUCACAAAAAAACUAUGAUUUUUAUCAAGUUGUCUGGAAAACUCUGCUUUUGCAGAUCAUGGAGACGUGGCCCUGUUUUCUGCCAGCACCUCUGUGCUUUUCUUAAACAUGCAGCCUGUGUCCAUCUGGAGUUGUUGUUCAAGGGGAGGGCCGUGUGCCCUGACUGGCCCUGACCUUCGUCUCCUGCUGACCUGGGGGAGAUGCGACUGCGCUGUGUGCUCAGCCCCAGGUGUUCCGAGGCUUGACUCGGGGCUAGGUCCCCGUGCCAGCUGCAUACUGCCAUUUUACAUUACAGCGUGUCCCAAAACCUCAUCACCCACGUCACUCGCUCUUUUGUCUCCUUGAGAAGUGCUGUGUGUUGUGUUUUGCUUCUGAGUGAAUCUGCCAGGCUCCAUAACAGGAAUUGGUUGGGGCCCUGGUAUUUGGGGCGAGUUAUUCUCAAGCAUAUUCCUAGGUUGCUCUUGUUCUUGGUUCCCGUAAACCCUGGCCAGCUGCUGCUGUGCUUCCAUGGCAGAAGCCCUGUGGUCUACAGCAGUGACACGGGGCCUCCUUCCCGGUGCCUGGCUGAUGGACUGUUUCAUUCCCUAUGCAGCGUUUGCUGUAGUUUCUUUGUGGUCCUUGCUGUUUGUAACGGACAAGUUGAGUCUUCUGAAGUGGUCUUCACAUUGGUGGGCUCAGUUGGCUGGUUGGCCCACCGAGGUGCCAGCCCCAUGCGUGGCACUCAAGAGAAAGAGGAGCCCACAUUGAAACCCAGGACUCCACAGCAGCGUCUGGAUUCCUGGCUUCUCACGAAUCUCAAAGGACCCUGCACAGCUGGCCCUUGUCUACCAGGACUCUCUGACACCCCCCCCCCGGAAUGGGACAGGUAUUUGUCCUCACCCUCACAAUUUUUCCUAAACUGGGCCCACUUGAGUCAUCUUGGCCUCACACCUGUGGCAUCAGUUUGCCUGCCACAUGCCCUGCCAGCUGGUGAGUGGCAUAUUCCCGCCUCCCCCGUGUUCUGAACAGUGGCCGAGCGUGUGCUAGAACUUGCCUGGCCUGUGAUCUAGGGCUGAUGCAAUUUGAGGGCUCUUGCACAGUUUGGAUAAAUGCAGGGUCUUGCUAGCCGCCAGGCCUUGGGCAGGUACUGGGCUUCUACUCCUGGUCUCUGUCUGUAGAGGGGCAGUGGUAGGGCCUGCCUCAAGAGGGACAGAUAGCCCAGCAGCUCAGCAAGCACCCACCUGACCACCAUCGUGCCAGACCCCUGAGCAGGCUGCUCCAUGUGGACUUGGAUACUUCUCCCUUGGCUUCCUGUGCGUCAGGUGCAGAGGACUCGCUGCCGCCUUUCUCUUCCUCUGGAGUUAUCUGCAGACCUACGGUCUACCUUACAUUCAGCCACUGGCCAAAGUCUCCCACACCGACGGUCCCUGGCCAUGCAGUCUGACAUAACGAUCUUUCAGCUUUCCGGUGUUGCAGAGGCAAAGGGCAUGUGGUCACAACUACAGUUUGAAUUUGGAUUUGGACUUUCUGGGCUGGAGGUUCUCUGUGUGUGUGAAUCUCCUGUUUCUCAUCAGGCUUCCCCGCCAGCUUGAGCCCCCGCUGAUGGUGCCUGAGCGAGGGCUGUCGUGGCUGCUGAUCCCUCGGAGGACAUACUGUCCCUUGCCAUGUUUGUGUUACAUACUUGUCCAUCAGUGCAUGGUUCCGCUUAUUUCAUGAGUGAUCGUUGUCACAGUUUAUGUUGGUGCUCAGGUUGUCUCAGCCUUGGCUGGGAAGGCACUUGAGGCAAGGCUGGGUCCUUUGGACGUCACCUGCCCUCUCCAGCACUUUCUUCUUCACUCCAGGUGUCUUAGCUGGUCUCCCUCUUUCCUGCCCAGCCCUGGGGUAGCUGUUUCUCGCAAGCACUGGUUCCUUCAGGGAAGGUGAUGUUGAGAAGCCAGGGUGUGACCUCUGAGUGGUGCUUGGCUUUCGGGGCGUGUGUUCUUUGUGUGUCCAGUGGCCAGCAGUUGCUGCCUUCCAUUAUUUCUGGACCUGCAGGCUGCUGAGCUCCCACCUUUGCAGGCAGCACCACAGGUCAGCCCUUCCAUAUUUGAGCAGCCUUCUCGGAUGUGGGAUUCUCUCUCAGUCCUUCUGUAUGUGAUGGUCCUUCCCACCCCACAGGGCCUGCUGCCUCUCUUGGGCCAGCCCUCCAAAAGGUUGAGGAGCAGGGUUCUGCUGCUUGACCGCCAGCGUUGUCCAGAUCCGAGCCACGGAGCGAGCCACGGAGCCCUGUACUGGUGUUCUGUCCAGAGCUCAUGCUCCUGGUGGUCUUGGUGGUCUUGUUUUUAGAAACAACACAGCUGAGUUUGUGUUUCAGCCUACAGGGAGUGUCCCUCCAUGGUGGGGACCUGCCCGUGGUCAGGGUGGUGGUUGGUGCCUUCUUUUGCACCGUGCUGCCAGCCCGCUCCUCCCUGUUCUGCUGUCGGUGGCAGAGCCACAUGGUUCCUUUGGUGCCUUGUGGAGUGGAAGUGAGCUCUUGCUCCUGUGUGUCCGUUGCCUGUUCAUCCUUGACCCAAGCUCACUUGGGAGGGCCUCCCCUGCCCUUGCCCUGCUCCUGGGCUCAUGCACCCAGCUUCCUGCAGGCCCCUCUCCUUCAGACUGCAGUCUCUGGGUCCUGACUGAUCUCCCUCUGAGGUCUGGAACUAGUUGGGUCUUUCCUUGGCACCCUUAUUCAGCUCUCAGUGCACGUUCUAGAUGCAGCCUGUCCUCCGGCAGCAUUGGUGUCCCUUGGGGAGCAUCACCCACAAACGGCUUCUUUCCCUCCAUCUUGGUGACUUCUGGUUCUCUGUUCCUGGGGCGACUACAGAGGCCACCUCAGCUGUGGUCAGCCGAGCUCGUGGGAUGUCAGCUUCUGUGUUCACUGCUUGUCCCAGGCUUCAGUCUGCCCUGGAGAUGGGACCUCACUGGCAGGGAACCCCACCCUCAGCCACUCCUCUCCUCUCAGGUGUCCCCAGGUGUCAUUGCCAACCCCUUUGCAGCAGGCAUCAGCCACCGGAACAGCCUGGAGAGCAUCUCGUCCAUCGACCGGGAGCUGAGCCCUGAGGGCCCAAGCAAGGUCGGAACUCCUGUGGCUGGCAGCCAGGGCUGGGGACCUGAACUGCUGAUGCCUGACUUGUCUGCUCCCUCACAGGAGAAGGAACUGCCCAGUCAGACCCCACACUGGGGGCCUGAGGCUGUGGAGGCCACGGUGAGUCCCAUGGGGCCUGGCUCUGUGCUCUGGGCUGCAUCCUCCCCUGAAGCAGUGCAGUCCAUGCCCAGGCACACAGCCCAGCUAGCAGUGUCACUCUGCUCCCCAGGGCCAGAGGCUGGAGCCCCUGAAGCUGGACUACCGUGUCCUGGCUGCUCUGCCCGGCACUGGCAGUGUGCAGAGGGUCAGUGUCCCACGUGUGCUGAGUUGCACCCUCCUGACGCCUUGUCCAUCUGCCCACCAGCCUGUCAGCUCCCUCUUCACCUGGCCAGCCACUGCCAGGGGCUGAGUGCCGAGGCCACCAUGGAGGAGCCUCUGUGGGGUGGGGCACGGGCUGGGGUUGGAGGAGCCCAGCCGCGUCUUACCCUUUACUUCUUGACCUUAGUCACGCGUGGAGGGGGGUCCUUUGAAAGCCCCCGACCCCUUCCCUGCCUCAUCCUUACCAGUCAGCUGGGUAUGGGGAACUGAGUCCAGCCUGUGGCAGGCAGAAGGGCUCCUGAGGUAGAGGCAGCUGGAAGUCACCAGAGUCUCUCCAGGCUCCUGGUGGGGGAGGGCGGGCAUGAGCAGCCCUGGAAUGGGUGGGCAUGAGCAGCUGCAGAGUGUCCUGGGAGGCCAGGGUGAGUGGAGAAGGGCUUAGCAUUAACUGGGUGUGGCAUCCAGGGCACCGGGUCUGGGGACAGACAGGAAGGACAUUCAGCCCCCAUUCCUCCCCAGGAGGUAUAAAUAACACUGGUAGAGGGUGAGCCCAGUCAGCUGCUGCUGGGAGACCCCACAGGAGUGUGAGUGCUUCAGGGGCGGGUCGGGGAGGACGCUGCCGGAGCAGUGGGGGAGGCGCUGAGUGGCCUGGUGGGCCUGGGGACUGAAGGAGCCUGCUUGGGCUUUGGGUGUGGACCCUCCUGCUGCACAGAACCUGGAGAGGGCAGCAGGGGUGGGGCCUAGCACCCUCACAUUAGGAGGGGGCACAGUGGCUGGUGGACCGUGGGAGGACUCCCUGGCUCUCACUGCUGGGGUGUCCUGGGUUUGGGGGCCCCUCUGCACAGCUCUGGGCUGCAGCUGCUACUGUGAACUCACACUCAGCUAGCUGCUCAGCCCAGGCCCAAUCUCCUGCCUUCUUUUUAAAAAUAUUUUGAUUUUUUAGUGUACACAAUACCCAUGUUUUUUAUUUAUUUUUAUGUGGUGCUGAGGAUCGAACCUAGGACCUCGCACAUGCUAGGCGAAUGCCCAGACUCCUGCCUUCUGGCUGGGGCACACCCUUUGUGGUGGCCAAGCCUGUCCCGAUAUAUCCCUGGGGGUGUGGUUGGUCAGAGAAUUGAGUAGCAGCUUCUGUGCUGCCAGCAUGGGUGCGUGCUAGGGACCCCCAAAUCCUUUUACUUGGGGGACACAGUUCUGCCUAGCCCUCCCCCACCCACCAGCUGGUUCCUGCAGGUACCAUCUGGAACAACUGGAGGGAAGAUGGCGGAGGCCCCCUGCUCCCCUGGAGGCCAGCAGGUGAGCAUCUCUGCUGCCCCCUAGAGUGCUGUAGAUGGGUGCUGUGUGGAGCUGGCCUCCACAAGGGGAAUGCUUGUGCUCCUGGAGGGGAUCCAGCCCUCCCUGAACGUGGGCCAGCACCAAGGACCCACCGGUAUACUCACCCCUUGCCUGGGUCCCUCAUGCCCCCCCAUCCUGCUGCGAGAGGAGGGCCAGGCCUCGGGCACCCCUCAUCCUGCCCUGCAGGAUGGGGUGGGCACUUGGAGCCCAGCUGCCAGCCCAGUCCCCGGAGGCUGAGGCAUUCAGGUGCAUGUCCCCGCCCCUGCUGUCCAGCUUGCCUCCCUCCCUCUCUCCUCCUUUCUUGGACCCCUGAUCCUGUACUUCUCUGCCCCCUUCCCUGCCCUUUGCAGACAAAACCCGGGGUGAUCCAGCCUUUGGCUCAGGCCUGGCCAAGGGGCUCCCCGGCCCCCAGGGGCAGAGGUGAUCCCCGCUCCGUGAGUGUCCUAUCCCACAGGGGGUAGGGGGUGGCAGUUUCCUUCCCCUCUACGGGACAGGGCGAGGGGGGGAUCAGUGGCAGUCCGUGGAGACAGCUGGUGGCUGGUUGGGCGGUGGCUGCAGUGGACAGCUGCCCCCCACCCCGCCUCACGGGCACUCCGCCCCCAGACGCCCUCCCCGCCCUCCCCGGAGGAGCUGCCCGCCAACGUGAAGCAGGCCUACAGGGCCUUUGCCGCAGUGCCCGCCGCACACCCUCCCGAGGACUGCGCUGCCCAGGUAGGCGGGCGCCCUGCGGUGCGGGGCACUGAGUGCGGGUGGGUGCCCGCGGAGGAACUCUGGCCGAGUGUGAGGUCCACCUCCCCAGCCCCCCGCAGCCUCCCCGGAGCAGCUCUCCUUCCGCGAGCGGCAGAAGUACUUUGAAUCGGAGGUGCGGGUGCCCCAGGCCGAGGGGCCCCCCAAGCGCGUGUCCCUGGUGGGUGCCGACGACCUGCGGAAGAUGCAGGAGGAGGAAGGUGAGGAGGGCGGGAGGAGGGGCGGGGUGUGUGUGUGUGUGUGCCCGCCUGACCCACCCACCUCCCCGCAGCCCGCAAGCUGCAGCAGAAGAGGGCGCAGAUGCUGCGGGAGGAGGCCGCGACCGCGACCUCCGGGCCCAACAUUGGGCUCGCCCUGGACCUGGAGGCCCCUGAAGAGGAGCACCAGGAAGACGAGCCGCUCUGGGCCAGCCUGGGCGGGUGAGCUCCGCCCCCUCCCCCCCACCCUGCCCCGCUGUGCCCGCCCCCUCAACUGGCCUCCCUCUUCCCUAGGCCCAGCCCUGCAUCCCCGCUGCCCGCAGGAGGCAGCGCCCCUGUGCGAACAGCCAAAGCUGAGCGGCGCCACCAGGAGCGGCUGCGCAUGCAGAGCCCGGAGCUGGCGGCACCAGAGCGGGCCCUGUCCCCAGCGGAGCGCCGGGCCCAGGAAGCAGAGAAGCGGGCGCUGUGGAGGGCGGCCAGGUAAGUGGGUUCCCCCCCGCCCCGCGCCGCGCCCACUCCCUGGUCUCCGCCCACCCAUUGGUCUCCGCAGGAUGAAGUCUCUGGAGCAGGACGCUCUGCGCGCACAGAUGGUGCUCAGCAAGUCCCAGGAGGGCCGGAGCAAGCGAGGGCCCCUGGAGCGGCUGGCCGAGUCCCCCUCGCCCGCUCCCACCCCAUCGCCCACCCCCUUGGAAGGUCGGUGUGUCUGGUAGGAGGGGGGGGGGUUCUGCCAGCUAUGGGCCUUUCCCAAAGCCAGUGUCUUGUACCCCAGAUCUCGGCCUCCAGACCAGCACCACCCCGGGACGCCUGGUGAGCCACCCGCAGCUGUCUCCCCCCCUGCACCCCUGCGGCAUGGGGGCGGCGGUGCAGAUUCCCCCACACCGCCCUCACCUCUCUCCCUCGCACUUUCUGCCUCUUCCCCCUCACGCUGUCCUUUCAAGCCCUUGUCUGGAAAGAAGUUUGACUACAGGGCGUUCGCAGCCCUCCCUUCUUCCAGACCUGUCUAUGACAUCCAGGUACUGGCAGUCUCCUGGCCUUCUGCACGCGCAUGGGCCCAGUGCACGCUCCUGCCACUCCCCUGUGCCUGUCCCACCUGAGCUCUGUCCACCCCUGCUUUUUCCCUGCUCUUUCUCUGGUGUGGGGCCUCCCCCCUCCUCUUCCCUCCCGUCGCAGCCCAGCUGUGCUGUGCCCUCACCCAGGCUCUGUGGGCCUCAGAGCCAGGGGGACCGGCCAGGUCCACCAGGGUGGCUUCAGCCAGGUCUGGACCAGCCCUGACCAGCCCCUCUUCCCAUCACAGUCGCCAGAUUUUGUUGAGGAUCUGAGGUCCUUGGAACCAACUCCUAGCCCUGGUAAGUUGGUGCUGGGCUGGGGGUAAGCUCCCAGGGUGCCUGGUCACCCUGGGCUUACUUCCUGUCCUUGCCCCCGCCCCGCCCCCAGGCCCUCAGGAGGAGGAUGGAGAGGUGGCCCUGGUGCUCCUAGGCAGGCCCUCCCCCAGUUCCCUGGGCCCUGAAGAUGUGGCGCUGUGCAGCAGCCGUCGCCCCAUGCGGCCUGGGCGCCGGGGCCUGGGCCCUGUGCCCUCCUAGGGGGCAGGGCCUCCCCAGACUUGGGGUGGGGGCCUGCCAGCUCCAACACCACCCUUGCCCCAGUCUUUUAACCUGGGUGUUAGCAUUUUAAAGAGACCCCUCAGGGGCCUGGCCUGUGCCUGACUGCCCCACCCCAAGCGGGUUCUCUUGGCGAGACUGUAACUAGUGACGUUUGUACAACCAAAGACUCUAUUUUGUGGUUUAAGGAGAAUAAAAUUGACUACAUUUUAACCCCUAUGUGUCCCUCCAUCCACCCACCCACCUGCAG
rnacentral:lncRNA from 1 species